ensembl:lncRNA
ACACUGGGGAGCCCCUCCCCCUCCCUCAUGAGAGUCUGGGGGUCUGUUCUAAAACCCUUAAAAUGCUGUCUUACGAGGUGUCUUACAAGGUCUCUUACGAGGUCUCUUACGAGGUCUCUUACGAGGUGUCUUACGAGGUCUCUUACGAGGUUUCUUACGAGGUCUCUUACGAGGUGUCUUACGAGGUGUCUUACGAGGAUAGCAAGGCAUCAAGGUCUGUUCUAAAACCCUUAAAAUGCUGUCUUACGAGGUCUCUAACGAGGUGUCUUACGAGGAUAGCAAGGCAUCAAGGACUGUUCCAAACCUUUAUUCUGUAAAACAGGA